GCCUGGGUAGCUCGGUGGCCAGCGCGUCGAGCUAGUAACGGGGCUUGCGGGUUCGAAUCUCCGCCUCGGAAG
rnacentral:tRNA from 1 species